CCUACGGGUGGCAGCAGUGGGGAAUAUUGGACAAUGGGCGAAAGCCUGAUCCAGCCAUGCCGCGUGUGUGAAGAAGGCCUUCGGGUUGUAAAGCACUUUCAGUGGGGAAGAAAGCCUUGGGGCUAAUACCCUCGAGGAAGGACAUCACCCACAGAAGAAGCACCGGCUAACUCCGUGCCAGCAGCCGCGGUAAUACGGAGGGUGCGAGCGUUAAUCGGAAUUACUGGGCGUAAAGCGCGCGUAGGCGGUCUGAUAAGCCGGUUGUGAAAGCCCCGGGCUCAACCUGGGAACGGCAUCCGGAACUGUCAGGCUAGAGUGCAGGAGAGGAAGGUAGAAUUCCCGGUGUAGCGGUGAAAUGGGUAGAGAUCGGGAGGAAUACCAGUGGCGAAGGCGGCCUUCUGGACUGACACUGACGCUGAGGUGCGAAAGCGUGGGUAGCAAACAGGAUUAGAUACCCUUGUAGUC
rnacentral:rRNA from 1 species